UGCUGCUGGUCUCUGUCUUCCAGCAUCGCGCAGUACCGCUCGGAACGGCAGACGGGCUGAAGAGAGAGACAGACAACCGCUCGUUGUCACAUAUAACUUCGUCACCAAUUAAACCCGACACCCCAAAAUCUGCUCUAUCUGCUCACAAACAACGGUCCCUCUCGCAAUAGACAAUUAAAACGCUUGCUGGAUUACUUUUCCUCCGGAGGUGUUGGUUGUGUUGAUGUGAAAUAAGCUGGGCUUUAGAGAGUUGCGUUUCUCGGCUGUUUCCAAUCCAUCUCGCCUGAAGGUCAGAAUAAAGAGGAGAACCGAGACAAUCGGCGGAGAGGGAGCCCCACACUGGCCGCAGCGCAGAGUCCCUCCACCGGGGCCGCUGCAGGGGACGUCCAGGUAAACCCUACUGGACCGGAGGACACCAUAACACCACCCACAUCGGCCUCUCUGACAUAGCUGAGGGUUACCCAGGGAGGAAGAGAAGAAGAAGGAGGAGGGGCUGAGGAGGGUCCAGACGGCCAGCCGCCCAGGAGAGGACGGCCUGAACACACUGGAGGAAGAGGAGACGCACAAAGGAGGAGGAGGAGGAGGAGGAUAGUCCCAGCCCCAGCAGAGUCAGAUGACAGGAGGAGCAGAAAGAGGAAAGCUUCUGAAGGACCAGUGAUCAGGGAGCCAGGGAUAGAGACAUAGAAAUACACUGUAGAGAGAGAGAGAGAGAGAGGGGUAGAGAGAGGGGUAGAGAGGGAGGAGGGGGCAGUGGAUGGGGAGAGCCACUCGCUGACACCAGUCCAGGCGUUGAAGUGGUUGCCAGUGAGGAGGGGGGGAGGUGGAGGUCGGUUUGGCGAUGAGGAUGAUUGCGGUCGGGGAGGGAAGGGCUGAGGGUCUUAGAUAGGAAGGUGUGUUGGGGGGAGGGGAGGGGGUAAAAUAGCAGAGGAGAGACCAGGGCAUUACAAAGUGGCUGAUAGAGAGGUGAGAGUGGAGAGGGAUAGGUGGAGGAAAAAACUGUAAAGGAGGAAAGAGUGGGGGGAAGUGAGAAAUAUCCCCCAAGACAAUCUGUGAAAAAGCACCAGAGAGAGAGAGAGAGAGGGGGAGGGGGGAGAGAGAGAGAGAGAGAGAGAGAGAGAGAGAGAGAGAGAGAGAGAGACGGAGAUAGCAGGUAGAGGUGUGGAAGCAGCUUGCAGCAGGCUACUGGGGUGGUGGUGGGUGGGUGGGUGGGGGAGGGGGUGGGGUUCAGAACAGUGGAGAUAGUGGAAGGGUGGGAAGAGAGGAAGACCAGGGAGUUGAAGGGGGGGUUUUAUAGAGAAGGGAUAAAAUAGAAGGUUCUGGAUGGUCUCCACGGCGCUGGACAGCAGGUCCCGCCCUUUCAGAGAUGGCCUCCAACUUUAACGACAUCGUCAAGCAGGGCUAUGUGCGGAUGCGCAGCCGCAAGCUUGGGGUGAGUGGUCUCUUCGUGUGUGUGUGUGUGUGUGUGUGUGUGUGUGUGUGUGUGUGUGUGUGUGUGUGUGUGUGUGUGUGUGUGUGUGUGUGUGUGUGUGUGUGUGUGUGUGUGUGUGUGUGUUUCCUCAUUAUUUCUCCUCUCUUGGAUUCCUUUGCAUUGUGGGGAUGGUUACGAGUGUGACCUUUGAGCCGGAUUCGUCCCCAGAGCGAUCAAAUGCAGCACUGUUACAUCUGCCUAUAGUUUUAGAGCACACAUUUGCAUAUAAACUGCUGAUGCGUGGGGCGAGUAUUCCAAUUCACAAUGAUAAUGUGUGCGCACGCACAGCGUGUGUUUGUGUGUGUGUGUACGUAUGUGUGUGUGUGUGUGUGGUAUGUGUAUGUGUGUGUGUGUGAGCGGGCUUGUGUGUGUGUGCUUUUGCACACGUGUGUGCAUGGGUGGGAGACUUGCCUAAUGGAGGCAAGAAAAGCACCAAUCAAUGUGCGUAAUCUGCUGUUUUUGCCAGCUCCCUUCUUCUGUUGGCCUUCUAGAACUGACUUACAGUGUUUACCCUCUAAAGUAUGAAGACACACCAUAUCUCUUAUCUGACGAGAGUUAUACCUCCUUAAUGGACUCUUUACUGUACAGGGAAAUGUGUUCCCUAAUGCAAGCGGUAUGUAAUUUGGUGGACAAUCAGCCCAAUAUUUGUGUAACAAUUCAGCACGCAUUAAGGGAAUAUAAAAGGCCUUAUCUGUGAUUACCUCAAGAUGGCUGCAUAUUUUCCCAUGCAUUUCUAUUAUGGACUAAUGAUUGGCCAUUCAAUCCUAUUUGUACAGCGCAAUUGCUAGCAUUUAGCCUCCAUGUAGCACACCAUUCCAAUCCCCCCUUGCUUGGGGCACCAACACCCAGAAUGCUGGACGUUUCUCCCUUUUCACAUUCGAGCUGGCUAUUAGCCAGAAGUUUAUCCAAUGGACUCAACCCUGCUUAUCCUGAUGCGACGAUAGUGACAGUGUAGGGGGGGGGCGGUGUUGCGGGGAGACGGCUGGUGGGUGCAUCACCGCACACAUGCUGGCAGGGAGCUUCUGCAGCCCCCCCUCAGCAGAACAAGCGGGGGGAACGCGGGGGAUUUGAUCCAGAAAAGGUUGGACGUCGGAGUCGGCGCAGAUUAUUUCCCCGGCUAAAGUCUCCCAAGGCCAGCUAGCCCUUUGGUCCCCGGGCAACAUCCACCCCCUCACUCCCUCUGUUUCUCUUCCUCUUUGUUUCUCUCCCUCUCGUGUCGUGCCCUCUCUCUCUCUCUCACACUCUCUCUCGCUCUCCUCCUCACUAGAAAAGGAACAUGUCCCCUGAUGAUGUCAAGACCCAACCUCGAGCCAUCCCCCCCCCCCCACACCCCCACCCCCCUGGUCCUCCCCUCCACCCCCACACCCCUCGCCUCAGUGUUGACUCGAGCACCUUGGUGCAGGCGGGCUGAAAAUGCCCUCGGCUGGGUUUUGGCUGAAGCGAUCGAUUAGUCUCGAUCUCCCUCUCAAUCUCUCUUUGUCCAUCAAACUCUCUCCGGUUAUCGAACUCUCCCACUUUUUUGUACCUCUCUGGUCUCUGGUUCUUUCUCCCUCAGUCAUUCUCCUUUCUCUCAAACAUUUUUCUAUUAUGUGUUUAUUUAUUCAUCCCACGAUGUCACACCUUUGGACAGAUACUCAAGGUUUCUCUCUCUCGUUCCAGAUACUGUCGGGGGAUAGAGAGUUGCAUUAUGAUAACAGUACAAUGCUGCCGUGUGCAUUUAUAGAGGUACUGCAGGAGAAUCUCAGAAGAAGUACAACUCGUAGAAACCGACAGAAAGACAAAAGGGUGUGGAAACAGGGAAGACGUGGGCGUAAGGUUGAUGGACUCACAGGGAGGUCAGUGGAGAAGCUGUCUUCAAACUCUCGGUGGGAGUAGUCUCCUUAGUCACAACCUCCUCCUAAGGCACAUGAGGGGGGGG